rnacentral:rRNA from 1 species
UCUCUUGAGAGCGGCGGACGGGUGAGUAAUGCCUAGGAAUCUGCCUGGUAGUGGGGGAUAACGUUCGGAAACGGACGCUAAUACCGCAUACGUCCUACGGGAGAAAGCAGGGGACCUUCGGGCCUUGCGCUAUCAGAUGAGCCUAGGUCGGAUUAGCUAGUUGGUGGGGUAAUGGCUCACCAAGGCGACGAUCCGUAACUGGUCUGAGAGGAUGAUCAGUCACACUGGAACUGAGACACGGUCCAGACUCCUACGGGAGGCAGCAGUGGGGAAUAUUGGACAAUGGGCGAAAGCCUGAUCCAGCCAUGCCGCGUGUGUGAAGAAGGUCUUCGGAUUGUAAAGCACUUUAAGUUGGGAGGAAGGGUUGUAGAUUAAUACUCUGCAAUUUUGACGUUACCGACAGAAUAAGCACCGGCUAACUCUGUGCCAGCAGCCGCGGUAAUACAGAGGGUGCAAGCGUUAAUCGGAAUUACUGGGCGUAAAGCGCGCGUAGGUGGUUUGUUAAGUUGGAUGUGAAAUCCCCGGGCUCAACCUGGGAACUGCAUUCAAAACUGACUGACUAGAGUAUGGUAGAGGGUGGUGGAAUUUCCUGUGUAGCGGUGAAAUGCGUA